GGCCUACGGGAGGCAGCAGUGGGGAAUAUUGCACAAUGGGCGCAAGCCUGAUGCAGCCAUGCCGCGUGUGUGAAGAAGGCCUUCGGGUUGUAAAGCACUUUCAGUCAGGAGGAAAGCGUGGUGGUUAAUACCCAUCAUGUGUGACGUUACUGACAGAAGAAGCACCGGCUAACUCCGUGCCAGCAGCCGCGGUAAU
rnacentral:rRNA from 1 species